UACUAAUGACCUGGACAGACUCUUCUUCCGAAAACUUCAGAUUUUCAAGCAUCGCGUUGAUAUCUUCAGCCAUGGUAAAACUAGGCCACUACCCAGGACAACUACUCCUCCGGACACUACCAGGAUUGUAACCAGGACUCAAGUCCAAGACCAACCUAUCAACGUGAUAGAGAACAGAAUACAACGACAAAGAAUAUAGAAAAGCAAAC
rnacentral:lncRNA from 1 species